AUUUUUUCCUUACCAAAUGAAACCCUGGCUGCUGCCUUUACUUCCCUCAGCCACCAAAAUCCUUUUUUUCUCCCAAACCGACGCAGCUUCAUGGAAUAGAGAGAAGGGAGAAAAGAGAAGCGGAGAGGGAGAAGAGGAAGAAGGGUGAGCCGAGAAGAGGGAGGUGCCGCGUUGCCGCCGCCGUCCAGCCGCCUCGCCAUAGCCACCUCUUCUGCGCUGUUGUUGGAGAAAGUUGUGUCGCAGUCGUCCAUGAGGCUGUCAUCAUGUGCCAUCGUUGAAGCCAACGGCCAUCCCGUCGCCGUCAUCCGCGCGAGAUUGCGAAGGGAGAAAGGGACGAACAUGGAGUGAGAAGGAGGGAUGACUGCCACCGUCGAGCUGCUGUAACCCGUCGUCGUUGUCGCGUCUGUCGCCGCCGAUGGAGGAAUCCACCGCUGAGCUGGACGCCGGGAAGAAAGGAUGUGAUGGUGGGGAGAGGUGUUGUCGCUGCGGUGGCCGUUGUUGCGGAUGGAGGUUGUCACUGAGCUGCAUGCAGCUAUUGGAGCUGCUCUGCCGCCGUUCUGGUCACCGGGUAUGGCUCCGGUGUUGCUGGAACCAUCAUCGAAACUUCUGCAGUUUUGCUCGGUCGUUACUCCUUAGUACGAAGUGGUUUGGAAUUGAGGUUGCAGUUGCCGAGGUUACAGGCUGAGAAGAAAGCGUUUUGACGCGCUGUAUAGCUUUCGAGUUUCGAUGAGUUGAGGUUUUUCUCUUUUCAGGAUAUGGGCGACGGAGCUUCAAAAGAGUUAUAUUCAUUUUCUGUUUAUUCGACAUUAUUUUGUAUUAUCUUAGUUUUUAUU